GACCAAUCACCCGCCAAAUGCAUCCAACUUUUCUAUGCGCUCAUAACACACACAUGUUGGUUGAUUCAUGCCAUGAGACUUCGAGGUUGAUGGCCAUCGACCAUAUAGUAUACCGGGUUAAUACUGCAUCUUUGCCCUCGUACUUUCACUAGUCAUUUGAAAGUUGCAUAGCCAUGCAGUAAUAGCUCCAAAACGCACCACCAUCUAUUUGCUCCGGGUCAAUGUAUCAAGUUAUGUUAGACCACUCAGCUGACAUUGAAGUAGAAUUGUAUGCGCGUUUGUGCCACGUGUUUUCUUUUAUUCAUAUAGAAUUGAGAUGGGGAAUGCAGACAUUGGUGUAGUCUGCAGUUUGUAUGAACUAUAUAUAUGUGUGAUGUAUGCUUGGUUUCCUAUUGACUGAUAAGCCUCUCCCACCAGGUUUACUUUGGAAUGGCAUCGGAGGUGCUCCCCGAAGAAUAUAGAGAUGGGUGUCAGGACAUCUUGUACCACGUGGGCUAUACACAUCAUGUAAAUGGACUUCAAUGAUUUUGAACAAAAUUUUGUUUCUUUUCUUUUCCCUCAUUUUUCUUAUGUAUCUCUUCUUUCCCAUAUAUACGUGUAAUAGAUAAAAUCUCAGUACUUCCAUUUGUCAACAGCA